rnacentral:lncRNA from 1 species
CCAGUCCCUGCAGCCCCCAGCAGCCAGUUUCGGGCACCACAUGUCAAAACUAGAAAGAACUCGUGGAAGAUCAACAGUAUGUGAAGAAGUUCGUAAAAUGCAACUUUUGAAGGAAGAAAAUUUCGAACGUUAAAUCUCGAUGAUCACUACUGAAGUGGAAACAGCUUGGGACAACGUGCCAACUGAAGCACCAGAGCACCAUUUUUUUGUAGCUUGUAUGCACUAUAAAGGCUUGGUGCACAGAAGGGCAGAAGAUGCAGAACAAGGACCUUGUGUGCUGGGAAAAGGCAAGUCUCACGAGAGCACAGAGGAAGCAUGGCUCAGAAAGGGGAAGAGCUAAGUAUGUUCUAGAGAUGCAUUAAUAUGGAAAAUUCCCUUCACCCGAUAUAUUAGACGAAUGCCUCUCUCACCGCGCACACCCUGCCAGCUGCUUCAUGUGGACCGAGCCAUGGGAUCUGGAUGCAGGGCAGUAUGGUCAGGCCAUGGGAUCCUACUCACACACUCUUGACCACGUACAAGCAUUAAAUGCAACUGUUGUGCAGUCCCAAAUCAGUCACCAGCAUAAAACUGAGCAAGAGCACCCAUUGCCAAAAGGAUCUGAAGCUCUAAAACACAUUCCUGUCUUGACAUUUGCCAAUAUUUGCAGAAUAUUUGUGAAACCAAAAGGAAAUGCUACCAGAAAAGGGCGUGGGGACAAAACUGUAUCUGCUGAUUUCAAGCUGCCAGACACGAAGGCAAUUCUCCGAGCAGACUGUGGAGAUGCACACCUGAAGCAGGCCUUAAGGGCACACUCUGACAGUUCCUGAAUGCCUGGGUGUCAAAGGGCUGCUCUGCGAAACAAGAGGAGACGGAGCAUAUUCCCAGUUCAACAGAGUGGCCAGGCCGGAAGGCUUCAGAGGGCUGAGCUGAAAGGGUGAUAAGGUCUGGCCUUU